UACGAAGGGGGCUAGCGUUGCUCGGAAUCACUGGGCGUAAAGCGCACGUAGGCGGACUCUUAAGUCGGUGGUGAAAUCCUGGAGCUCAACUCCAGAACUGCCUUCGAAUACUGGGAGUCUCGAGUUCGGGAGAGGUGAGUGGAACUGCGAGUGUAGAGGUGAAAUUCGUAGAUAUUCGCAAGAACACCAGUGGCGAAGGCGGCUCACUGGCCCGAUACUGACGCUGAGGUGGCGAAAGCGUGGGGAGCAAACAGG
rnacentral:rRNA from 1 species